GGGAUGGAGCGCGUGGCCGCAGCACGGAGCUGCCUCGUGUGCUGCUCCGUGUUUGAGCUCGGCCCGCAGAGCGUAACCCGCGUUGUGCAGCUCCACGAAUGGAUGUGUUUCUGCAAUCAAAACGAACAGAACAGAGACAGGAGAAGGUGAUGCAUGAGCUGAAAUGAGCAUCCAAGGAACAACUCCUAGAUGUUCUGUAUACUGGCAUGCAGGAGGAAAAAGAGACAGAUGGUGUGACAGUGGGAGAACAGUCUAUUUUAGCACUAAUAAAAAUGAGACUUGAGAUCCACGUACGGCAGAGAAAUUAGGAACUUGGAGAGCUGGGGAAGAAGCGAGACAAGCACUGACCUUUCAGAGUUACACAGCUAUGCACUGAUGGUUUUUAUUUUGCACUUGAAAUAAAGCCAAUGAUGGUACUGAUACAGAGUUUAAAU